rnacentral:rRNA from 1 species
AUUGAACGCUGGCGGCAUGCCUUACACAUGCAAGUCGAACGGUAACAGGUCUUCGGAUGCUGACGAGUGGCGAACGGGUGAGUAAUACAUCGGAACGUGCCCGAUCGUGGGGGAUAACGAAGCGAAAGCUUUGCUAAUACCGCAUAAGAUCUAAGGAUGAAAGCAGGGGACCGCAAGGCCUUGCGCGAACGGAGCGGCCGAUGGCAGAUUAGGUAGUUGGUGGGAUAAAAGCUUACCAAGCCGACGAUCUGUAGCUGGUCUGAGAGGACGACCAGCCACACUGGGACUGAGACACGGCCCAGACUCCUACGGGAGGCAGCAGUGGGGAAUUUUGGACAAUGGGCGAAAGCCUGAUCCAGCCAUGCCGCGUGCAGGAUGAAGGCCUUCGGGUUGUAAACUGCUUUUGUACGGAACGAAAAGACUCUUUCUAAUAAAGAGGGUUCAUGACGGUACCGUAAGAAUAAGCACCGGCUAACUACGUGCCAGCCGCCGCCGUAAAAC